UACGGGGACUAGUCCGGGUGGUUAGGCGUCACCUGUAACCUGAAACCGCCGAUAUGCGGGGGACGAACACCGGGGGCGGCUCUAGCGGCCUGCCCGAAUCCUUCGUUCCUGACUGAGAAGCCUUGUCCUAUGAGGUCGAUGGAGAAGAUCCCUUCGUUCCGGAGGGAACGGACAUCUUUUCGCUGUGGAGACCGGCCGAGGCCCGGAAGGGAGCAGGCUCACCGCGGACAUCCGGCGCCCAUGGGGGUGCGGGGUGGAGGAUGGGACGGAGGAGGACUGCAGGCACGUGGUGUCAACUCCGGAAGGUCCCCAUA
rnacentral:SRP_RNA from 1 species